GACAGAGGGUGCAAACGUUGUUCGGAAUUACUGGGCGUAAAGCGCGUGUAGGCGGCCCAGCAAGUCGGAUGUGAAAGCCCUGGGCUUAACCUAGGAAGUGCAUUCGAAACUGCUGGGCUUGAGUUCUGGAGAGGAAGGCGGAAUUCUCGGUGUAGAGGUGAAAUUCGUAGAUAUCGAGAGGAACACCGGUGGCGAAGGCGGCCUUCUGGACAG
rnacentral:rRNA from 1 species